rnacentral:rRNA from 1 species
AGAGUUUGAUCCUGGCUCAGGAUGAACGCUGGCGGCGUGCUUAACACAUGCAAGUCGAACGAGGUUAUUACAGUUGAAGUUUUCGGAUGGAUACCGUUUUAACCGAGUGGCGGACGGGUGAGUAACGCGUGGGGAACCUGCCCCAUUCCGGGGGAUACCAGUUGGAAACGACUGUUAAUACCGCAUAAGCGCACAGUACCGCAUGGUACAGUGUGAAAAACUCCGGUGGAAUGGGAUGGCCCCGCGUCUGAUUAGGCAGUUGGCGGGGUAACGGCCCACCAAACCGACGAUCAGUAGCCGACCUGAGAGGGUGACCGGCCACAUUGGGACUGAGACACGGCCCAAACUCCUACGGGAGGCAGCAGUGGGGAAUAUUGCACAAUGGGGGAAACCCUGAUGCAGCGACGCCGCGUGAGUGAAGAAGUAUUUCGGUAUGUAAAGCUCUAUCAGCAGGGAAGAAGAUGACGGUACCUGCACAAGAAGCCCCGGCUAACUACGUGCCAGCAGCCGCGGUAAUACGUAGGGGGCAAGCGUUAUCCGGAUUUACUGGGUGUAAAGGGAGCGCAGACGGAAGGCCAAGUCAGGUGUGAAAGGCAUGAGCUCAACUCAUGGACUGCACUUGAAACUGGUCAUCUUGAGUAUCGGAGGGGCAGGCGGAAUUCCUGGUGUAGCGGUGAAAUGCGUAGAUAUCAGGAAGAACACCGGUGGCGAAGGCGGCCUGCUGGACGAUAACUGACGUUGGGGCUCGAAAGCGUGGGGAGCAAACAGGAUUAGAUACCCUGGUAGUCCACGCAGUAAACGAUGAAUACUAGGUGCUGGUUUCCACAGGGAAUCGGUGCCGCCGCUAACGCAAUAAGUAAUCCACCUGGGGAGUACGUUCGCAAGAAUGAAACUCAAAGGAAUUGACGGGGGCCCGCACAAGCGGAGGAGCAUGUGGUUUAAUUCGAUGAUACGCGAGGAACCUUACCUGGACUUGAACGUAUUAGGCAUAAUUUGGAAACAGAUUAGUUAGCAAUAACCUGAUACGAGGUGCUGCAUGGUUGUCGUCAGCUCGUGCCGUGAGGUGUCAGGUUAAGUCCUAUAACGAGCGCAACCCCUACACAUAGUUACCAACACGUUAAGGUGGGGACUCUAUGUGGACUGCCGGCGCAAGCAGAGAGGAAGGUGGGGACGACGUCAAAUCAUCAUGCCCCUUAUGAUCUGGGCUACACACGUACUACAAUGGCGCAAACAAAGGGAAGCGAAGCCGCGAGGCGGAGCAAAUCCCAAAAAAGGCGUCUCAGUUCGGAUAGUAGGCUGCAACCCGCCAACUUGAAGCUGGAAUUGCUAGUAAUCGUAGGUCAGCAUACUACGGUGAAUACGUUCCCGGGCUUUGCACUCAACGCCCGUCA